CCUACGGGUGGCAGCAGUGGGGAAUAUUGGGCAAUGGAGGAAACUCUGACCCAGCAACGCAGCGUGAAUGAUGAAGGUCUUCGGAUUGUAAAGUUCUUUUCUAAGGGAAGAAGAGAGUGACGGUACCUUAUGACUAAGCCUCGGCUAACUACGUGCCAUCAGCCGCGGUAAUACGUAGGAGGCGAGCUUUAUCCGGAAUGACUGGGCGGAAAGGGUGCGUAGGUGGUUUGGCAAGUUAGUAGCGUAACUCCAAGGCUCAACCUUGGACCUACUACUAAAACUGUUGGACUUGAGUGCAGGAGAGGCAACCGGAAGUCGUAGUGUAGCGGUGGAAUGCGUAGAUAUUAGGAAGAACACCAGUGGCGAAGGCGGGUUGCUAGACUGUAACUGACACUGAGGCACGAAAGCGUGGGGAGCAAACAGGAUUAGAUACCCUAGUAGUC
rnacentral:rRNA from 1 species